rnacentral:tRNA from 2 species
CUGCCCGUAGCUCAGUCCGGAUAGAGCAUCAGCCUUCUAAGCUGAGGGUCACAGGUUCGAGUCCUGUCGGGCAGGCCA